UCGCGGCGGUGGGUGACUAAAGAGGUUGACCAGAGGGGGAAGGAGCCCUAGACAGACUAAGAAGGUGGGUAGGGAGGAGCUAAAGUCGGGGGUCGGUUAGCGGAAGCUUGGAUGGGUUGGCCACGGAGGGGACCUGGGGCAGCAGGUGGUGGCUUCGGUGGUCCUGGCCGGAGCGGGGAGAGGGAGGGAAGCAAGAGGAGGAGGAUAGCAGAGAGACAGGGAGAGCGAGUUAUAACGAGAGAGAAAGAGGGUCCAUGCAGGCACGUCCUUGGCGUUCCUCCUUUGGCGGUAGCGGUUCAAGAACCGCAUACGCAGACCUAGGCGGUACGGGCCGAGGAGGCGCGAGCUAAAGGCGGCAAAGAGACGGGCAAGGGCGACGGGGAACAGCGGUCGCGCAGACGAGGCCGGUACCCUACGGUCGCGACAUGGAAGAGUUCAAGGAGGGCGGCCAACGGGACGGAGCAGGUUGGAGCGACGCAGGGACGGCGCCGGAGGAGGUCGGCCGUCGGCGUGGUGCGGGGACAGUUCGGGCGGAGGAGUGCGGUUCGCGGAGGUGUUCGGUGACGGCUGUACCAGGGUUCGGCGGGAGCUGAGGGCGCAGGCAGCGGCAGCUAGGAGCGAACGUAGCGGAGCGAUUCAGGGACGUUAGCGCGGCCUCAAGUGGACAACGACAGCGACAAAGAAGUCUCGCUCGUCAAACGGGCGAACGGACGCGAAGCGCAACUGGCCCGUGCUACGGUGUCGCUGGCGCGCACCCGGAGGAGAAGGGAGCGGGGCCGGGUCUCGAAGGAGGUCGUUCAGGCCGGGUCGUGGUUCCGCGUCCGGGUCGAGGAAAGCGGGUGCUCCGGGUCGAAGCGCGCGGGGAAGAUCCGGGUUACACUCGAAAGGGGAGGUCUAGGGGACAAGAACAACCCGGUCGAUCUAAGCCGGGCUCACGGACAAAAAAAAGCGCCGGCUUAAAGGAUAAAUAGGUCUCUGACGUCAAAAAGUCUUUUUGGGAGGUACAAGUACGAAUAUUAUUGAAUUAUUGGCACGUAGUAAAAUUUUAUUAAAUAUAUACUUUUUACGAAUCUUAAAACAGAUCAAAGUAUUAUACGGUAAAAGUGGGUACAAAUUUUACGAAUUAUACAACAAGCAAAUUUAAAAGAGUUUAUUGAACAAUUUUACAAAAUUAAGUAUUGAUUUAUUAGCAUCGAGCCAAAGAUUAUUUGAAAUAUACAUUUACCCCAUCUUUUACGGAUCAAAUUGUACCACAUGAACAAAACGUACGAAUUGUUGAGAUUUUAAUACAAAUCCCGUCUUGUCAUGGUUUGGAUUAUAUACGUAUCCUCCUCAAAGGCCUUAACAAUAAGCAACAAAGGCCGGAGUAAAUUUGAACUGAUCUAUCCAUCAAAAUGAAACGAAGUGGGAGAACGGUACGAUUGUUGUAAAUUAGAACAACCUAUGUAUUUGCUCUAGCUUGAUUUAUUGAACUUAUGCCACAAAGCAGUUAUACGUUGAGCAACGUAUAACUCGAGUAAACAUCCUAACGAAUACGUACAACGGUACGGUACGGAGUAAUUUAGCCUGUACGUAGUAUGAACCAACACGUAGUACGGUACAGAUACACCACCAACAAAUGAUACAACAAACGAAGAAAGGCCACAACGAAGAAACCCAACCAAGGUUAUUGCAGCGCAAACACUCCUGGGUAAGCAGAUGCAGGCAAACAGAAGAAGUACCCGAGCAAGAAGAAGGAACGCCCUAAAGUCAAACGUCCACGGCUACAAGGGCUCGUCCACUGCGUUGGUUCGAGUUCCUCCUCGAGCUACUUCUAGAACAGGAAACACAACAAAGCAAGAUCAACUAGUCAUCACCUCGGGUCAACCCCAGCUAGCCCGUAGACACAUCGAAAACCCCAUCAGAAGAAAAUAAAACCGAGGCAUCAGCCCGGAACUAACAUUGACCAACUACAUUACGAAAUAAGAACAUAAACACACUUCACCGCUAACAUUCGGUUGAUACAUAGAAAAGGGAAUAACAUAAUG
rnacentral:rRNA from 1 species